rnacentral:tRNA from 1 species
GGCCCCCUGGCGUAACUGGCGGCCGCGCCAUGCUCAAGACGUGGUUCUCUUUCCGAGAGUGUGGGUUCGACUCCCACGGGGGUCA